ACACUCUUGUUUCUCUGCAGAUCGUACAAAUCUUUCGCCUUUUACUAAAGAUUUCCGUGAAGAGGAACAAUAAGAGUUGGACUCAAUUUUUUAAUGCUCUGCGAAAGUGGGGCC
rnacentral:snRNA from 1 species